rnacentral:lncRNA from 1 species
UAUAAAUUUUAUAAAAUAAUUUUGGAUAAAUUCUACACUUAAAAAUAUAAAAAUAGAAGUAAAUAAGUUUUUUCUAUAAUUUAUGUAAAAUAAUUUUGCUAACUUUUUAAUUUGUUGGCCAAGUGACCAAGUUGGCAAGAGGCAAGGAAAUGGCUGACUCUAAAUAGUGAGAUUGAAGGACACUUAAAAGUUGCAUCUGCUGAAUCUAACAGAUAUGUUACAUCUAUCUAUCUUCGUUACCUCUAUGAUGAGCUUUGUUGCUUUAUAUGCGCCGUUCUGCAAGCUCUAUCGUCGUCACUUCACUCUAUAUGUGAUCGAGGGGUAUGCGGUUGAAGGGGAAUGAAAAACAUACGACGAAGGUUGAACUGUUAGUAUGAAACAAAAGGUAAGUGCAGCUGCCAUUGCCAAAGUCACGUCGUACUUAAGAAAUACUUUUCUCUCUCUCUAUUGAUUAAUCUAUAAUUUAUCAGUAAUUUGACAUGGGGAAGGGAAAAGGCGGUGGUGGUGGUGGAGGUGGCGGUGGAAAGGGUGGUGACACUAAAAAAGCAGGAGGAACAGCACCUGGAAAAGGAUCUGAGGCCAAAGCCGACUCGAAGGGAGGAAAUAAAGGUGGAAAAAAAGGUGGGAAAAAAUAACAUCAGCUUUCUCAUCAAUCUUCACACUCUCUUCCUUCUUUGAUGAUUUUUCGAAUGAUUUUUUUCGAAUAAAAAUAUAUAUAUAUAUAUAUUAUUUAAGUUAUUAAUUUAUUAAUAAUAAAAUAAUUUAUAAAACCACUAUA